rnacentral:rRNA from 1 species
UACGAAGGGGGCUAGCGUUGCUCGGAAUCACUGGGCGUAAAGGGCGCGUAGGCGGAUGUUUAAGUCGGGGGUGAAAGCCCGGGGCUCAACCUCGGAAUUGCCUUCGAUACUGGACAUCUUGAGUACGGGAGAGGUGAGUGGAACUCCGAGUGUAGAGGUGAAAUUCGUAGAUAUUCGGAAGAACACCAGUGGCGAAGGCGACUCACUGGCCCGUUACUGACGCCUGAGGCGCGAAAGCGUGGGGAGCAAACAGG